rnacentral:rRNA from 1 species
GGACAGCACUCCUACGGGAGGCAGCAGUGGGGAAUAUUGCACAAUGGGCGCAAGCCUGAUGCAGCCAUGCCGCGUGUAUGAAGAAGGCCUUCGGGUUGUAAAGUACUUUCAGCAGUGAGGAAGGUGGAUAUGUUAAUAGCAUAUUCAUUUGACGUUAGCUGCAGAAGAAGCACCGGCUAACUCCGUGCCAGCAGCCGCGGUAAUACGGAGGGUGCGAGCGUUAAUCGGAAUUACUGGGCGUAAAGCGCAUGCAGGUGGUUUGUUAAGUCAGAUGUGAAAGCCCGGGGCUCAACCUCGGAAUUGCAUUUGAAACUGGCAAACUAGAGUACUGUAGAGGGGGUAGAAUUUCAGGUGUAGCGGUGAAAUGCGUAGAGAUCUGAAGGAAUACCGGUGGCGAAGGCGGCCCCCUGGACAGAUACUGACACUCAGAUGCGAAAGCGUGGGGAGCAAACAGGAUUAGAUACCCUGGUAG